UUGAAGGAUGCAGUGCUCCGACAACUAACAACCGAUGCCGGCAGUUUGUUCCAUGCUUCAGCAACUCUCAGCAUGGCACACUGUGGAGUGGUUGGUGUUAGGAAGGGCAUCCAGCUGUAGAAGCAAUGCCAGAACAGAAUGGAGCUUGGCUAGGUCCCAGGCCUUGCCAGCUCUGGCCAAACUGUCCAACCUAAAAACACGUUAAAUGAUGAUGAUGAUGACAAGCAAAUUAUAUGUGGACUAUUAUUAUUGAGUAUUUAGUUAUAUCCAUUCACAUUCUCAGUUCAAAUCUCAUUGAGGUCAACUUUAUUCUUCUUGUUCUCCAAAGGUCAGUAAAACAAUUACCAGUUAGGUGUUGGUAUUGAUUUCCAGCACAAGGUCCAUACAUUCCAUGCUGAUGCUGGAAAAAAAAAAGACUAUUGUUUUUGAGGGCUGUGUUGACUGACAAAGUUUCAAGAGUAACAUUAAUGGCAUCAGCCUCACUGGUCAGGAAUAGCUCUGAAAAGGCUAUGGGCAUUACACCUUCCUCUUGACUCAGUAAGUAAAAAAAGAAAAGAAAAAAAAAUACAAAACAAAACAGCUGUUCAAAAUUAAUAUCAGCCAUAUGAGUACCAGUUUUUGAAGGAUUUAUGGAAGU